GAUGAACGCUGGCGGCGUGCCUAAUACAUGCAAGUCGAGCGAACGGACGAGAAGCUUGCUUUUCUGAUGUUAGCGGCGGACGGGUGAGUAACACGUGGAUAACCUACCUAUAAGACUGGGAUAACUUCGGGAAACCGGAGCUAAUACCGGAUAAUAUUUUGAACCGCAUGGUUCAAAAGUGAAAGACGGUCUUGCUGUCACUUAUAGAUGGAUCCGCGCUGCAUUAGCUAGUUGGUAAGGUAACGGCUUACCAAGGCAACGAUGCAUAGCCGACCUGAGAGGGUGAUCGGCCACACUGGAACUGAGACACGGUCCAGACUCCUACGGGAGGCAGCAGUAGGGAAUCUUCCGCAAUGGGCGAAAGCCUGACGGAGCAACGCGGCGUGAGUGAUGAAGGUCUUCGGAUCGUAAAACUCUGUAUUAGGGAAGAACAUAUGUGUAAGUAACUGUGCACAUCUUGACGGUACCUAAUCAGAAAGCCACGGCUAACUACGUG
rnacentral:rRNA from 1 species